rnacentral:tRNA from 1 species
CGGGAUAUAGUAUAAUGGUAGUACGUGUGCUUUGGGAGCACAUAGCCUCGGUUCGAUUCCGAGUAUCCCGA